rnacentral:rRNA from 1 species
AUGAACUGCCUGCUCUGGUUCUUCUACGGGCUCCCUAUCGUCCACCCCAACAGCACCCUCGUCCUCACCAUCAACGGCAUCGGCCUCGUCAUCGAGGGCGCCUACAUCAUCAUCUUCAUCAUCUACGCGGCCAAGAACACAAGGUGGAAGAUGCUCGGCGUGCUCGCCAUCCAGGCGGCGUUCAUGGCUGCCGUGGUGGCCGGUGUGCUCGUCGGUGCCCACACCCAUGAGAAGCGCUCCAGGAUCGUAGGCAUCCUUUGCGUCAUCUUCGGCUCCAUCAUGUACGCCUCCCCGCUCACCAUCAUGGGUAAAGUGAUCAGGACCAAGAGUGUGGAGUAUAUGCCAUUCUUCCUGUUACUGGUAAACUUUCUCAACGGUCUCUGCUGGACUGGCUAUGCGCUAAUCAAGUUUGACAUCUACAUCACGAUCCCCAAUGCCCUCGGUACAAUCUUCGGCCUCAUCCAGCUGAUCCUUUACGGGUACUACUACAGAUCUACCCCCAAGAAGGGCAAGAAUGUCGAGCUGCCCACCGUCCUCACCAGAAACGCCGUUACCAGCGGCAACGUCUCCGUCACCAUAGAGAAAUAA